UUUAUACUUGUUAUAUAUAAAGGUGAAAAAAUGGCUAAGUCUCUGAAGUUUUUUUACAUUCUAAUCAGUUUUGUUUCCUUAUAUUUUGGUGUAGUUAACAGUCAUCCAUGUCUUAGUGACCACGAUUGCUAUAUACAAUAUCCGAAGACUCCUUUUGGGCAUAUGGAGUGUUAUAAAGGUUCGUGUAGGCCUAUUUAAACCAUGUUAAGGAAUGCUCGGGUUUUUCACCAAACAGAAGCUUCAAUUAAUCAAUUGUUAGAUAAAGUUAAGCAAGCUUCAAUCUUACUGGUGGCUGAAAGCAAAUCGUCCUAGUUUUGUUUUCUCCUAUCAUUUAUGGUGGUUAAAUUCUUUACCUUGCUUGGAAAUUAUUAUGUAACAGGGUAGCUUUCUUUGUUGGUUUUUUCCUGUUUUUGUUCCCCGUUUGUUUUUAUUUUUUUUAUUGUAAUUGAUACUCUUUCAGCUGGGUUUUCGGCACACCUUAUGCUGAAAUCUUCAGGCUUUCAGUAAUAUAUUUCAUUUUAGCUUCUUAAAAAAAUUGUGUAAUAAUUGUGUGUAUAUAUAUUUAACAUGUAAUUUUUAGUGAAAUGUUUUUGUUACUCUGAA